GGGAUUUUAUUAAUAUAUUAAGAAUUAAGUAAACUGUUGUUUAAUAGAAGUAAUUUUUGUAAAAUUAAUUUUUAGUAGGGUUUAAUGAAUUGAGGUUUAAGGAUUGAUAAUGAAUUAGUACUGUGAAGGGAUUGUGAAAUAUUGUUGAAAUAUUUAUUUAUUUGAAAGUAAGAUUAAAUUUUGUACCUUGUGUAUCAGGGUUUAUUUAAUGUAAUUUAUUGUCAGUAAAUAUCCCGAAUCAAAAAGGGCGAGGAUUUUAAGAUGGUUGUUGUGGUAAUAUUAUCAUAAAUGAAGUUUUAGUAAUGAAAUAUUAGACGUGUUUUGUGAUAUCUGGUUUUCUGAGAAAUAAAUUAAAUUUAUUUUAUGUUGAGAUAAGGUUAUAUUAAGUAAUUUUUAUUUUAAUAUUUAAUAUAUUUUUGGGGAUAAGCUGGAGGAUACGAAUUAUAAGGUUUGACUAUUUAAUUAAUUUUUGUAGGCUUUAAAUUAGCUUUUAUUGAAAAUUGUUAUAAGUUAAUUAAUAUUUAAUAUGAAUUUUUUAGGAUUUUUAAUUUAUUUAUUAGAAUUAAAUAAUUAAUGAAAAGUUAUUUGAAAUUAUGAUGAAAUGAGUAGAGGGGAUAGUGUUUGAUUGAUAUUUUUGUUAAAUUAUAUUAAAGGAAUUCGGCAAAAUUUUUAUUCGUAUGUUUAUCAAAAACAUUUCUUCCUGAUUUAAUAGGAAGUAGGACCUGCCCACUGAUUAAAUUUAAAGGGCCGCGGUAGCUUGACCGUGCAAAGGUAGCAAAAUCAUUAGUCUUUUAAUUGGAGGCUGGUAUGAAUGGUUUGACGAGAUAAAGGCUGUCUAUUUUAUAUGAAUUGAAUUUAACUUUUUAGUGAAAAGGCUAAAAUAUUAUUAGAGGACGAGAAGACCCUAUAGAGUUUUACUGAAAAUUUAUUAAAUUAUUUUAGUAGUUUGUCUAAUUAAUUAGAUUUAUUAGUUUUGUUGGGGAGACAUAAAGGAUUAAAUAACUCUUUAUUUUAUAUUACGUUAAUUUGUGGAUAAAUGAUCCAUUAUUAGUGAUUAUAAGAUUAAAUUACCUUAGGGAUAACAGCGUAAUUUUUUUUGAGAGUUCUUAUCGAUAAAGAAGAUUGCGACCUCGAUGUUGGAUUAAGAAUAUUUUUAGGUGAAGAGGUUUAAAAAAUAAGUCUGUUCGACUUUUAAAAUCUUACAUGAUCUGAGUUCAGACCGGCGUGAGCCAGGUUGGUUUCUAUCCUUAAUAAAUUUUGAAAUUUUAGUACGAAAGGACCAGAUUUUUAAAAUAAUUUUAGUUUUAUUGAAUGUUAUUAAAUUUGUAA
rnacentral:rRNA from 1 species